CAUAUCGAUGCCCCGCCCCCAAAAAAACCCUCCUCGCAAUGUGUAAUUAGUUAAUAAUCUCUUGCAAUUUCCCACGUAGGGCUUACCUUAUAGUCUCCUUAGGCCACUAUAAAUACCCUUGUAAACCCCCUCAAGGCCAUCACCUCCCAAGCAGUGACCUCUAGCUAGCCCUGCAAAUCAAGCCUUGCUGAUAUAAAAAAAUGAAGCUCUCUUUUGCAGCACUGCUGCUACUUUCAGUGGUCCUCCUGUCCUCUUUCCUUCGGUUCACCAUGGCUGUGCCCAACCACGUCGCGUCACCUCCACCUCCCUCCCCAGCAAUUCCAAGUUUCUGUGAUCCAAAGUGCAAGGCUAGGUGUGCCAAGGCGGGAUACUACCAACGCUGCUAUGACUACUGUAUAAUCUGCUGCAAAGAUUGCAAGUGUGUGCCUUCAGGGACUUACGGAAACAAGUCAGAAUGUCCAUGCUACAGAGACAAGUUGAACUCAAAGGGCACCUCCAAAUGCCCUUAAGAAAUCCAUUAUCCCAACCUUUAUUUUCCCUUUUCACUCAAUAAAAUGCAACAACUUGUACUUAGACAUUUCCAAAAACUGAAUCUAUAUAUAUUCAUGACUGUUAGUAGCAUUGUAAUAAGAAGAUGGAGAGCCAUAAUGUUGAAUAAAUAGCGUAGACGUCGUUUCUGGUCUUUCUUGUCUCAUUGACUGUUGUGCACGAGCUGAGUUCUUAAAAAAUGUGAUUCUCCGGUUUCCUAGUACUAGUUUACUCUUAUUUGAGCUCGGCA